AGAGUUUGAUCCUGGCUCAGGAUGAACGCUAGCGACAGGCUUAACACAUGCAAGUCGAGGGGCAGCAUAAAAGUAGCAAUACUUUGGUGGCGACCGGCGCACGGGUGAGUAACGCGUAUGCAACCUACCUAUCAGAGGGGAAUAACCCGGCGAAAGUCGGACUAAUACCACAUAAAACAGGGGCACCGCAUGGUGAUAUUUGUUAAAGAAAUUCGCUGAUAGAUGGGCAUGCGUUCCAUUAGGUAGUUGGUGAGGUAACGGCUCACCAAGCCGACGAUGGAUAGGGGAACUGAAAGGUUGGUCCCCCACACUGGUACUGAGACACGGACCAGACUCCUACGGGAGGCAGCAGUGAGGAAUAUUGGUCAAUGGGCGGGAGCCUGAACCAGCCAAGUCGCGUGAAGGAAGAAGGAUCUAUGGUUCGUAAACUUCUUUUGCAGGGGAAUAAAGUGCAGGACGUGUCCUGUUUUGUAUGUACCCUGAGAAUAAGGAUCGGCUAACUCCGUGCCAGCAGCCGCGGUAAUACGGAGGAUCCGAGCGUUAUCCGGAUUUAUUGGGUUUAAAGGGUGCGUAGGUGGUUUGAUAAGUCAGCGGUGAAAGUUUGCAGCUUAACUGUAAAAAUGCCGUUGAAACUGUCGGACUUGAGUGUAAAUGAGGUAGGCGGAAUGCGUGGUGUAGCGGUGAAAUGCAUAGAUAUCACGCAGAACUCCGAUUGCGAAGGCAGCUUACUAAGCUACAACUGACACUGAAGCACGAAAGCGUGGGGAUCAAACAGGAUUAGAUACCCUGGUAGUCG
rnacentral:rRNA from 1 species